rnacentral:rRNA from 1 species
AACGUAUGCUGGCGGCACGCCUAACACAUGCAAGUCGAACGAAGUAGCAAUACUUAGUGGCAGACGGGUGAGUAACAUGUAGGUAUCUGCCCUUUGGCCUGGAAUAACACGAGGAAACUUGUGCUAAUACCGGAUAAGUCUUUACGGAGAAAGCUUUAUGCACCAUUGGAUGAGCCUGCACUUGAUUAGUUUGUUGGUGGGGUAAUGGCCUACCAAGACUGUGAUCAAUAGCUGAUUUGAGAGGAUGAUCAGCCACAUUGGGACUGAGACACGGCCCAAACUCCUACGGGAGGCAGCAGUGGGGAAUCUUGCACAAUGGAGGAAACUCUGAUGCAGCGAUGCCGCGUGAGUGAAGAAGGCCCUUGGGUUGUAAAGCUCUUUCGUCGGGGAAGAAAAUGACUGUACCCGAAUAAGAAGGUCCGGCUAACUUCGUGCCAGCAGCCGCGGUAAUACGAAGGGACCUAGCGUAGUUCGGAAUUACUGGGCUUAAAGAGUUCGUAGGUGGUUGAAAAAGUUAGUGGUGAAAUCCCAGAGCUUAACUCUGGAACUGCCAUUAAAACUUUUCAGCUAGAGUAUGAUAGAGGAAAGCAGAAUUUCUAGUGUAGAGGUGAAAUUCGUAGAUAUUAGAAAGAAUACCAAUUGCGAAGGCAGCUUUCUGGAUCAUUACUGACACUGAGGAACGAAAGCAUGGGUAGCGAAGAGGAUUAGAUACCCUCGUAGUCCAUGCCGUAAACGAUGUGUGUUAGACGUUGGAAAUUUAUUUUCAGUGUCGCAGGGAAACCGAUAAACACACCGCCUGGGGAGUACGACCGCAAGGUUAAAACUCAAAUGAAUUGACGGGGACCCGCACAAGUAGUGGAGCAUGUGGUUUAAUUCGAAGAUACGCGCAGAACCUUACCAACACUUGACAUGUUCGUCGCGACUCUAAGAGAUUAGAGUUUUCGGUUCGGCCGGACGAAACACAGGUGCUGCAUGGCUGUCGUCAGCUCGUGUCGUGAGAUGUUGGGUUAAGUCCCGCAACGAGCGCAACCCUCACUUUUAGUUGCCAUCAUUAAGUUGGGCACUCUGAAAGAACUGCCAGUGAUAAGCUGGAGGAAGGUGGGGAUGACGUCAAGUCCUCAUGGCCCUUACGUGUUGGGCUACACACGUGCUACAAUGGUAUCUACAACAGGAAGCAAGACUGCGAAGUUAAGCAAAUCCCUAAAAGAUACCUCAGUUCGGAUUGCACUCUGCAACUCGAGUGCAUGAAGCUGGAAUUACUAGUAAUCGUGGAUCAGCGUGCCACGGUGAAUGCGUUCCCGGGUCU